UACGUAGGGCGCAAGCGUUGUCCGGAAUUAUUGGGCGUAAAGAGCUCGUAGGUGGCUUGUCACGUCGGGUGUGAAAGCUUGGGGCUUAACUCCAGGUCUGCAUUCGAUACGGGCUGGCUAGAGGUAGGUAGGGGGAGAACGGAAUUCCUGGUGUAGCGGUGAAAUGCGCAGAUAUCAGGAGGAACACCGGUGGCGAAGGCGGGUCUCUGGGCAACAACUGACGCUGAGGAGCGAAAGCGUGGGGAGCGAACAGG
rnacentral:rRNA from 1 species